UACGGAGGAUGCAAGUGUUAUCCGGAAUCACUGGGCGUAAAGCGCGCGUAGGCGGCUUGUUAAGCUAGAUGUGAAAUCCCCGGGCUCAACCUGGGAACUGCAUUCGAAACUGGCAGGCUAGAGUAUAGAAGAGGCAAGUGGAAUUCCGGGUGUAGCGGUGAAAUGCGUAGAUAUCAGAAGGAACACCAAUGGCGAAGGCAGCUUACUGGACAACAACUGACGCUGAGGCACGAAAGCGUGGGUAGCGAAAGGG
rnacentral:rRNA from 1 species